rnacentral:sRNA from 1 species
GAACCUCCGGGGGCAAGAGGUUCGACUCGAGCGAAGCGAGAGAACGUUGCGUCAGCAACGGCCCGCAGUGGCAAGUCAUCCUCUGUCACCGGCAG